UGGGGAAUAUUGCACAAUGGAGGGAACUCUGAUGCAGCGACGCCGCGUGAGUGAUGAAGGAAUUCGUUUCGUAAAACUCUGUUCUAUGGGAAGAAAAGGACUGUACCAUAGGAGAAAGCUCCGGCUAAAUACGUGCCAGCAGCCGCGGUAAUACGUAUGGAGCGAGCGUUGUCCGGAAUUAUUGGGCGUAAAGCGCGCGCAGGCGGCUUCCUAAGUCCAUCUUAAAAGUGCGGGGCUUAACCCCGUGAUGGGAUGGAAACUGGGAAGCUGGAGUAUCGGAGAGGAAAGUGGAAUUCCUAGUGUAGCGGUGAAAUGCGUAGAGAUUAGGAAGAACACCGGUGGCGAAGGCGACUUUCUGGACGAAAACUGACGCUGAGGCGCGAAAGCGUGGGGAGCAAACAGG
rnacentral:rRNA from 1 species